rnacentral:rRNA from 1 species
CGAUGAGUAGGGCGGGACACGUGGUAUCCUGUCUGAAUAUGGGGGGACCAUCCUCCAAGGCUAAAUACUCCUGACUGACCGAUAGUGAACCAGUACCGUGAGGGAAAGGCGAAAAGAACCCCGGCGAGGGGAGUGAAAAAGAACCUGAAACCGUGUACGUACAAGCAGUGGGAGCACGCUUAGGCGUGUGACUGCGUACCUUUUGUAUAAUGGGUCAGCGACUUAUAUUCUGUAGCAAGGUUAACCGAAUAGGGGAGCCGAAGGGAAACCGAGUCUUAACUGGGCGUUAAGUUGCAGGGUAUAGACCCGAAACCCGGUGAUCUAGCCAUGGGCAGGUUGAAGGUUGGGUAACACUAACUGGAGGACCGAACCGACUAAUGUUGAAAAAUUAGCGGAUGACUUGUGGCUGGGGGUGAAAGGCCAAUCAAACCGGGAGAUAGCUGGUUCUCCCCGAAAGCUAUUUAGGUAGCGCCUCGUGAAUUCAUCUCCGGGGGUAGAGCACUGUUUCGGCAAGGGGGUCAUCCCGACUUACCAACCCGAUGCAAACUGCGAAUACCGGAGAAUGUUAUCACGGGAGACACACGGCGGGUGCUAACGUCCGUCGUGAAGAGGGAAACAACCCAGACCGCCAGCUAAGGUCCCAAAGUCAUGGUUAAGUGGGAAACGAUGUGGGAAGGCCCAGACAGCCAGGAUGUUGGCUUAGAAGCAGCCAUCAUUUAAAGAAAGCGUAAUAGCUCACUGGUCGAGUCGGCCUGCGCGGAAGAUGUAACGGGGCUAAACCAUGCAC